rnacentral:lncRNA from 1 species
UGCCCGUGAAGUUGAGCAAACUCGAUCUUAGACUGAGUCGACUCACCUGCAUGCCGGUCUGAAAAUUCCAAAACGUUGUUUUUGUUUGGCUCCUCCUCUAAGUCAUAGUCGAUCUAGUCUCAGUCUGAGUCCACUAAAACUUUGAAACUACUUCUUUCCUGCAAUCUUCAUCCUUGGCUCUGGUUUCUUACUUUACCUUGUGUCUCCAAGUCUCCGGAGCACCAACCAAGCCCCUCAAGAUCCUUAGUACCUGGACCUCA